AGAGCUACUCUCUGGUGUUCCCGGCCCGGCGGGGUGAGCCCGCGGGCUUCAGGGAGUGUCAGUGCCUCUGCAGCUCCGGAGAGUACUUCCAGGAAGACACAAAUUUGAAUGGGGUAGCAACUUGGUAUAAAUAUUAUUAGAUUUAGUUUUAAAUGGGAGAAAAAUAACUGGGAUCUUAUCUACAACUGAGUUCUUUUAAGGUUGUCACAACACCCUUCUGGUCUGGAACUCACACUUAAACUCUUGGUAAAACAAGGAGUGUCCAGAGGCAGAGAUGCCAUCUCCACCCACCUUUUGGAAAACUCUGCCUACUCGGAUAUGAACAAACUCUGGGAAACCUCGUCCUGGAACAGCGGAGGUCUUGUCCCUUCCUGGUGCAUUGAACCCGCUGCGUGCUGGCAUUUAAAACCCACAGAAGCCAGCUGUGUUUAUGACUUGUUUAAUUUCACAGGGGAUGGGGGAGGGAUCAGAAACUACAGGACGGGACGUUUGCCUUAAGCGAUGGGGGACCAGUGCUUGGCAUCUGAUCCUACUAGCACAGAACUCCAGGGAACUUGGGCCGCCGCGCAGGGUGGAGAGCCGGGAGGAAAAAGGAGAGGGAGAGAGGAGGGGCAACGAUGGAGGGGCUGAGCAGGAGAGAAGGAAACAGUUGAGGGCAGAUUUUUGUCCUGAACAUGUAAAAAGAUCAAUUUGGAAAAAUAGAACUGUGGUUAAGAAGUUGAAUCUGAGCGUGGCUGUAGACAUGUGCAGUAUCUGAAUUCAAUCUCUUCAGGAAGAUGGAAAAGAGAAAUUGAUUUCUUCAGGAAAACCUGCUGACACGGCCCUGGCAUCCAGCUGGUGGCUGUCCUUGACCACCAUGGCAGUACCUGCAAUGACACUCAGCCCCUCAUGAAAGGAGCAAACUGUGACACCAGAAAAAGGACAAACUUCAUAGCAAAUCAUGAUAUUUUCUUUGCUACCAUAGUAGUUAAAUUAUAAUGUAUGUGUAGAGACUGCUAAACCAGAUAAGUCUGUUUUAUAAUCCAGCCAAUUAGUCAAGAGCUUUCCUAUGACAUUAAGUAACAUGUGAAUAUGCUCCCUUCGUGUGUCCUGUGAAAAAGUGAUGCACAAAAGAAUAAUAUCAUUUAAAAUAAGAAAAUGGAACAUGUCGUUCCUAUAAAAUACAUGUCUGGAAAACUAAAUAAACACAUUUUUCAAACUUUA